rnacentral:lncRNA from 1 species
UGCAAUGUAGUGUGAUGGAUAUCAGUAUAUGCAGGUACUGGCCUAGCUAGCUAGGUAGACAGAUCUGUGAAGAUGGUGGUGAAUGUAUAUGUCAUUCAGGGUUUGUAUGGAGAUCAGGAACAGAGAAAUGUAUCUAGUUCACUAGCAAGUUGCCAAGUUGAGCGAGUAACACUAUGCAAUGUAGUGUGAUGUAUAUCAGUAUAUGGCUAUAUGCAGGCACUGGCCUAGCUAGCUAGAAGAAGGUAGACAGAUCUGCAAAGAUGGAGGUGAAUGUAUUAAGUCAUUCAAGGUUCGUAUGGAGAUCAGGAACAGAGAAAUGUAUCUAGUUCACUAGCAAGUUGCCAAGUUGAGCGAGUAACACUAUGCAAUUUAGUGUGAUGUAUAUCAGUAUGUGGCUAUAUGCAGGCACUGGCCUAGCUAGCUAGAAGAAGGUAGACAGAUCUGCGAAGAUGGAGGUGAAUGUAUAUGCCAUUCAAAGGUUUAUAUGGAGAUCAGGAACAGAGAAAUGUAUCUAGUUCACUAGUAAGUUGAGCUAAUAUCAGGUUUCUACGAAUGUGUAACUCUGCUCGUUAUGUUCGUAGCUGAUCGCGGUUAUUGGAAGUGUUUGAUGGUAAAUUUAUGUCGUGAAUUUGUCAAUGACCGAAACAAUUUGAUCUUGGUACCAUAGUUCUAAAU